AGGCCGGUGCGGCGGGUCAGUUGGCGGCCGCUGCCUUGGCGCGGGCGCGCGCCCGGCCCCGCAGGUGCGAGUCCAGCUCCGCCUUCC
rnacentral:tRNA from 1 species